GCCGUACUAGAGAAAUGGUUAACUCGUCGGUCUCCUAUUAUAUAAAAAUAUAUAUAAUCACAGCCGAAGAUUCCCGGUUCGAGUCCGGGGUGCGGUG